rnacentral:lncRNA from 1 species
CAACCACUACACAAAAACCUAUGGCGCUUCUUGGGUUGGGAUUUUGAGAUUGAACCCUAGGCGUUUCCUAAGCAAAACGAAGAUUUUUAAAGACAGCAUUUGAACUGCACAACUCACAGGUUGAGGAAGAUACAAAGGGUCCUGAUAGUUAUGGGACGGGGACAGUUACACAAAGACAGAAGUCCCUGGAACUGGGCAGAUGGCUGCCAUUCCUCUUGUUAUCUAUAAAUCCUGGAGUAUCUAUGGCAGGGAAUGCUUCUGAGUCUGUUAUCAUUCUUUUGUCUCUUUCUAUAGACAGGAGACAACUUCCUC